rnacentral:rRNA from 1 species
GACGAACGCUGGCGGCGUGCUUAACACAUGCAAGUCGAACGGAAAGGCCCUGCUUUUGUGGGGUGCUCGAGUGGCGAACGGGUGAGUAACACGUGAGUAACCUGCCCUUGACUUUGUGAUAACUUCAGGAAACUGGGGCUAAUACCGGAUAUGAGCUCCUGCUGCAUGGUGGGGGUUGGAAAGUUAGGGCGGUUGGGGAUGGACUCGCGGCUUAUCGGCUUGUUGGGGGGGUAGUGGCUUACCAAGGCUUUGACGGGUAGCCGGCAUGAGAGGGUUACCGGCCACAUUGGGACUGAGAUACGGCGCAGACUCCUACGGGAGGCAGCAGUGGAGAAUAUUGCACAAUGGGCGGAAGCCUGAUGCAGCAACGCCGCGUGCGGGAUGACGGCCUUCGGGUUGUAAACAGAUUUCGACUGUGACGAAGCGUGAGUGACGGUAAUGGGUAAAGAAGCACCGGCUAACUACGUG